rnacentral:misc_RNA from 1 species
AACGCACGAGACCUGCGGACCUGCGGAGGGAUCAUUACCGAGUUUACAACUCCCAAACCCCAUGUGAACAUACCUGUUUCGUUCCCUCGGCGGUGUCCGGCAACGGCCCGCCAGAGGACCCAACAAACUCUUUUGAAUUUUUCAGUAUCUUCUGAGUGAAAAAAACAAUAAAUCAAAACUUUUAGCAACGGAUCUCU